AUGAUCCUAUGCUGCCGAGAAAAGCCUCUAGCGAGCUGGUACAUGGCCCGUACCCCAAACCGACACAGGUGGUCAGGUAGAGAAUACUAAGGCGAUCGAGAGAACUGUGGUUAAGGAACUCGGCAAAAUGCCCCCGUAACUUCGGGAGAAGGGGGACCAGUCCUGGUGACGACAUUUACUGUCUGAGCUGGGGUUGGUCGCAGAGACCAGAGAGAAGCGACUGUUUACUAAAAACACAGGUCCGUGCGAAGUCGUAAGACGAUGUAUACGGACUGACGCCUCCCCGGUGCUGGAAGGUUAAGAGGACCGGUCAGCCACUUCGGUGGCGAAGCUGAGAAUUUAAGCCCCAGUAAACGGCGGUGGUAACUAUAACCAUCCUAAGGUAGCGAAAUUCCUCGUCGGGUAAGUUCCGACCUGCACGAAUGGCGUAACGACUUCUCUGCUGUCUCAACCACAGACUCGGCGAAAUUGCAGUACGAGUAAAGAUGCUCGUUACGCGCGGCAGGACGAAAAGACCCCGGGACCUUCACUAUAGCUUGGUAUUGGUGUUCGGUUCGGUUUGUGUAGGAUAGGUGGGAGACUGUGAAACUCGCACGCCAGUGUGGGUGGAGUCAUUGUUGAAAUACCACUCUGACCGUAUUGGACAUCUAACCUCGGACCAUGAUCUGGUUCAGGGACAGUGCCUGGUGGGUAGUUUAACUGGGGCGGUUGCUUCCUAAAAAGUAACGGAGGCGCCCAAAGGUUCCCUCAGCCUGGUUGGCAAUCAGGUGUUGAGUGUAAGUGCACAAGGGAGCUUGACUGUGAGACGUACAUGUCGAGCAGGGACGAAAGUCGGGACUAGUGAUCCGGCACCGGCAAGUGGAAGCGGUGUCGCUCAACGGAUAAAAGGUACCCCGGGGAUAACAGGCUGAUCUUCCCCAAGAGUCCAUAUCGACGGGAUGGUUUGGCACCUCGAUGUCGGCUCGUCGCAUCCUGGGGCUGGAGUAGGUCCCAAGGGUUGGGCUGUUCGCCCAUUAAAGCGGCACGCGAGCUGGGUUUAGAUCGUCGUGAGACAGUUCGGUCUCUAUCCGCCGCGCGCGUAAGAAACUUGAGGAAACCUGUCCCUAGUACGAGAGGACCGGGACGGACGAGCCUCUGGUGUGCCAGUUGUUCCACCAGGAGCACCGCUGGUUAGCUACGUUCGGAAGGGAUAACCGCUGAAAGCAUCUAAGCGGGAAGCCUGUUCCAAGAUGAGGUUUCUCACCACCUGCGUGGUUAAGGCCCCCCACAGACCAUGGGGUUGAUAGGCCAGAACUGUAAGCACAGCAAUGUGUUCAGGUGACUGGUACUAAUCGGCCGAGGACUUACU
rnacentral:rRNA from 1 species